AGCUGAGUGGCGAAAGGGUGAGUAACACGUGGGUAAUCUGCCUCAGAGACGGGGAUAACGUUCCGAAAGGAGCGCUAAUACCCGAUAAGCUCACAGGGCCUUCGGGCCUAGGGAGAAAAUGGUGGGGAACCGUAAUAGGACCUGUCACUUUGAGAUGAGCCCGCGCCUUAUCAGGUAGUUGGUAGGGUAACGGCCUACCAAGCCUAUGACGAGUAGCUGGUCUGAGAGGAUGGUCAGCCACAUCGGGACUGAGACACUGCCCGGACUCCUACGGGAGGCUGCAGUCGAGGAUAUUUCGCAAUGGGGGCAACCCUGACGAAGCGACGCCGCGUGGAGGAUGAAGGUCUUCGGAUUGUAAACUCCUGUCACCAGGGACGAAAGAAGAGGGAUUAAUAAUCUCUCUUUUUGACGGUACUUGGAGAGGAAGCCACGGCUAACUCUGUGCCAGCAGCCGCGGUAAGACAGAGGUGGCAAGCGUUGUUCGGAUUUACUGGGUGUAAAGGGUACGUAGGCGGUUCGGAAAGUCGGAUGUGAAAUCCUAUGGCUCAACCAUAGAAUGGCAUCCGAUACUCCCGGGCUAGAGUGUGGGAGAGGAAGAUGGAAUUCCCGGUGUAAGGGUGAAAUCUGUAGAUAUCGGGAGGAACACCAGUGGCGAAGGCGAUCUUCUGGCCCAUUACUGACGCUCAGUGUACGAAAGCAGGGGGAGCAAACGGGAUUAGAUACCCCGGUAGUCCCUGCCUUAAACUAUGGACACUAGGUGUCGGUUCCGUUCAUACGGAGUCGGUGCCGUAGCUAACGCAUUAAGUGUCCCACCUGGGGAGUACAGUCGCAAGGCUGAAACUCAAAGAAAUUGACGGGGACCCGCACAAACGGUGGAGCAUGUGGUUUAAUACGACGAUACGCGUGGAACCUCACCCAGGCUUGACAUGUAGGAAGUAGGAACCUGAAAGGGGGACGACCGGUAUCCAGCCCGGAACUUACACAGGUGUUGCAUGGCUGUCGUCAGCUCGUGUCGUGAGAUGUUGGGUUAAGUCCCGCAACGAGCGCAACCCUUAUCUUUAGUUGCCAACGGGAAAGCCGGGAACUCUAAAAAAGACUG
rnacentral:rRNA from 1 species